UUCUCUUGGGAGUGGCGGGGAUAUGAGGCCAGCCCGCGGCAGCUGCAGGGGACUUGACCUCAGCCUGUGGCAGUUGGUGGCCGUCUUGCUCCCAUCAAGGUAGAGCCGCCUGCGUGAGGAUGACACCAGUAAGCAGAACCCAGAGGCGGGGAGAGACCGUUCCUGCUGACGUCCCUGAGCUCCAGGUGCAGCCCUGCCGGAAGCCGUCUAUCUGUGGACUUAGUUACGCUGUUGGCUGCAUGAGAAUGGAGACCAGGUGUCUGGAGCCCGCCCAGCACACAGUAAGGCCUCAGUGAACGUGCACUGGGUGUGUGGACGCUGAGACCACGGACAAGAACGUUCCAGGCGGCGAUGAAGCUGCAAUGAAGGCUCCUGUCCGUCUGUCUGUCCGCAGCUCCAGGCUCCUCCGCCUCCUGCCCUCCCCAUGCUCCCUGCGUGGUGCGUCCUCCCCCUCCUCCGACACUAGGAAGAAGAAAUCUGAAGGUCAUCAUAGAGGACACUCCAGUGGCCUGGGGCACAGUGCUCCUCAGACUUCUUGCCCAUGGGUGGGCUCUGCGCAGGAGGGGUUGGCUUCUCAGCAGGAGACAAAGAGGGAGAUGUCAUGUAUCUGCAGCUCCACCAGGCUUUGCCUACUCUCCUGAAGAGCAUCCUGAGAGGCUGGCCUGGAACAUGUUUGACGGGUGGAGGCUGGACUCUGGUGUAGGCCUGGAGAGUAUUCAGUGUCUUGCAGGCCCUGUGAUGGUGAAAUGAGUUUUGAUGGCCAAUUUUGGAGGAUGCCUCGCAAUUGAAAACUGGCUCUUCUAACUUCAAGGAUUCAGCUUAUGGCACGGACUUCUUCCCUUAAUAAAUGAAGAAUGGGAGACUCCAGGUGGCCUCAUGGUUGAGGCUUCAAGACGAGUGAAAAAAGAUAAAAGCAAAGUAAAAGAAGCUCAGGUUGAGUUACUCACUUUGACUUGAAUAUACUUCUGUGAGGAGUUACAUCAGCAUUAUGAUUGAAUAAGAUGUGUUUCAUCAUACCCCCCCUUUAAUAACAACUUGGCUUCAUUCACAGACCAAAGUGUCUUUGUGGGAGCUGUGGGAUCCAGCAAAAUAUGUCAAGGGGAACAGGAGGAGUCUCACCCACCUGUGCACAGGGUAUUAGGCAUAGAGACCUCAGUCCCAGCUCUGGACAUUGCAGUCAUCUGUUAACUGGCUCCAUACCCUCUUGGCUACAGCCUGGGGGUACAAAAUCCUGUUUUAAUCCAUCACUUAAGAACGAAAGAGCUUUUGUGGAUAUUCAGGUUUCUUGUAGAGAAGUACUGGCAUAAUGUUGGGGCAAAAAGAAAAAAUAAUACGUAUGAGUUUGCAUGAACUGAACAAAGUAAAAGGAAUGGUUUCACUUGACGAACAUCAAGCCUCCCCGAAGACUGAACAACUAAAGGCCAAGAGGGCUCUUCCUGGCCCAUGAUUUCCCCUGCAGGGGCAAGUGAGAGCAUGUGAAUUAACACGUAGCUUCUCCAACUGUGUGGGAUGUUGCCAAAAAGGCCCAUUGAUUUCUUGCCCCAUUCAGAGUGCUGAAUUAUGAGAUGAAUGACUGGGGUGGGAAGAGGUAGCAGAUAGGAUUCUUAGAAGAAAUUGAUGUGGUGCAGAUUCUACCUGCUGUAUCACAGACUCCAUCAAGAAGCCCAUCCAUGAGCGAAUAGGGAUGCCUUACACAUGGAUCCUCCCAACUGGCCAGUGGGCACCCUCAGUGCUCUUAACACAUUAUACAAAUAUCCACACUGUGGCUAGUUUAUCCACACUGUGGCUAGUUUACUUGGUGCUCACAACCAAGGCAGUGAGGGAAGGCUUUGGCUGACAGCUUGAUAACACACAAAGGAAGCUGGCUCACAUCUGCAGGCCAGAGACAGAUCAUAAAUUUCUGCAUUAGCACCACCCUUAGGAGAAGAAAAGGGACUCUAUCAUCAGCCCCCAGCCUAUUGUGUUGCUAGAUAAAAAUAGAGCAUAUAAGCUCAAGAAUUCUGUCAAAAGAUGAAAUAAGAAGCAUGAAACACUUUUAUACAUAGAAGGUCUGAGAAAGCCUCAGACACUCUAUGUCUAGAGGGCCAACAGAAGGUGUUUUUCUCCUGAAGACAAUUAGCAAACACUGGAGUAGGUGGCUGCUACUUCAAAAGUGAAGACAGAAGCACAAAACGCCAGGAACAUUUUUUUUUAAAACUCAAAGUAACCUAACACAACUAAAGGAUUACAGAGUCUUCCAGUUAUUAAUCCCAAAGACUUUGAAAUCUGCAAUCUACCUAAUAAAUAAUUCAAAAACACUGUUAUAAGAAACCUCAGUGAGCUACAAGGAAAGAUUGAAAGACAAUUCAGUGAAAUCAGAAAAAACAUGAAGAAAACAAAAAUAGACAAAAACUGUAAAAAAAAAA